rnacentral:rRNA from 1 species
GACGAACGCUGGCGGCGUGCUUAACACAUGCCAGUCGAACGGAAAGGCCCUGCUUUUGUGGGGUGCUCGAGUGGCGAACGGGUGAGUAACACGUGAGUAACCUGCCCUUGACUUUGGGAUAACUUCAGGAAACUGGGGCUAAUACCGGAUAGGAGCUCCUGCUGCAUGGUGGGGGUUGGAAAGUUUCGGCGGUUGGGGAUGGACUCGCGGCUUAUCAGCUUGUUGGUGGGGUAGUGGCUUACCAAGGCUUUGACGGGUAGCCGGCCUGAGAGGGUGACCGGACAAAUUGGGACUGAGCUACGGCCCAGACUCCUACGGGAGGCAGCAGUGGGGAAUAUUGCACAAUGGGCGGAAGCCUGAUGCAGCAACGCCGCGUGCGGGAUGACGGCCUUCGGGUUGUAAACCGCUUUCGCCUGUGACGAAGCGUGAGUGACGGUAAUGGGUAAAGAAGCACCGGCUAACUACGUG